GUAGCGUGAAGGAUGACUGCCCUAUGGGUUGUAAACUUCUUUUAUAUGGGAAUAAAGUGAGCCACGUGUGGCUUUUUGUAUGUACCAUACGAAUAAGGAUCGGCUAACUCCGUGCCAGCAGCCGCGGUAAUACGGAGGAUCCAAGCGUUAUCCGGAUUUAUUGGGUUUAAAGGGAGCGUAGGCGGAUUAUUAAGUCAGUUGUGAAAGUUUGCGGCUCAACCGUAAAAUUGCAGUUGAUACUGGUAGUCUUGAGUGCAGCAGAGGUAGGCGGAAUUCGUGGUGUAGCGGUGAAAUGCUUAGAUAUCACGAAGAACUCCGAUUGCGAAGGCAGCUUACUGGACUGUAACUGACGCUGAUGCUCGAAAGUGUGGGUAUCAAACAGGAUUAGAUACCCUGGUAGUCCACACAGUAAACGAUGAAUACUCGCUGUUUGCGAUAUACAGCAAGCGGCCAAGCGAAAGCAUUAAGUAUUCCACCUGGGGAGUACG
rnacentral:rRNA from 1 species